UCGACCUGAGAUCAGGCAAGGCUA
rnacentral:rRNA from 2 species